rnacentral:misc_RNA from 1 species
AACAUCGCGCACCUGCGGGAACCUGCGGAAGGAUCAUUACCGAGUUAGGGUCUUCCUGGCCCGACCUCCAACCCUUUGUUUACUAUACCCAUGUUGCUUUGGCGGGCCUGCCUUUCGGGGCUGCCGGGGGCAUCACUGCCCUUGACCUGUGCCUGCCAGGAGCCUUCUUUAAAUUUUGUGUUCAACUGUGUUGUCUGAGUCCCAAUAUCAAAAUAUAAAAAACUUUUAACAAUGGAUCUC